UACGAAGGGGGCAAGCGUUGUUCGGAAUUACUGGGCGUAAAGCGCGCGCAGGCGGCUAUCCAAGUCAGUGGUGAAAGCCCGGAGCUCAACUCCGGAAGUGCCAUUGAAACUGUUUAGCUUGAGGAUGAGAGAGGUGAGUGGAAUUCCCAGUGUAGAGGUGAAAUUCGUAGAUAUUGGGAAGAACACCGGUGGCGAAGGCGGCGACCUGGGCCUUGACUGACGCUGAGGCGCGAAAGCGUGGGGAGCAAACAGG
rnacentral:rRNA from 1 species